AUCAGAUGUGCCCAGAUGGGAUUAGCUUGUUGGUGAGGUAACGGCUCACCAAGGCGACGAUCCCUAGCUGGUCUGAGAGGAUGACCAGCCACACUGGAACUGAGACACGGUCCAGACUCCUACGGGAGGCAGCAGUGGGGAAUAUUGCACAAUGGGCGCAAGCCUGAUGCAGCCAUGCCGCGUGUAUGAAGAAGGCCUUCGGGUUGUAAAGUACUUUCAGCGGGGAGG
rnacentral:rRNA from 1 species